AGCUCAGCUGGUUCAGAGCAUCUGCCUUACAAGCAGAGGGUCGGGGGUUCGAAUCCCUCA
rnacentral:tRNA from 2 species